rnacentral:rRNA from 1 species
UACAGAGGCCUCGAGCGUUAGGCGGAAUCACUGGGCUUAAAGCGUGUGUAGGCGGGCCCGUAAGUGUCUUGUGAAAUCCCACGGCUCAACCGUGGAACCGCUGGGCAUACUGCGGGUCUUGGGCCAACUAGGGGCAGCCGGAACAAGCGGUGGAGCGGUGAAAUGCGUAGAUAUCGCUUGGAACGCCGAAGGUGAAAACAGGCUGCUGGGGUUGCGCCGACGCUGAGACACGAAAGCCAGGGGAGCAAACGGG